rnacentral:snoRNA from 1 species
GGCCUCCUGGUGCUUACCACAGGCUGUGUUCUUACACUGACUGCAUUCAAAGAGGAGGCAAAGUAAACCUUCCCCAUAGGCCUCAGCCCAGGCCGUGUCUAGCCUGUGUUGUGAAUGGGGAGACAAGG